AGUGGCGGACGGGGUGAGUAACGCGUGGGUAACCUGCCCUGUACAGGGGGACAACAGUUAGAAAUGACUGCUAAUACCGCAUAAGCGCACAGGACCGCAUGGUCCGGUGUGAAAAACUCCGGUGGUACAGGAUGGACCCGCGUCUGAUUAGGUAGUUGGCGGGGUAACGGCCCACCAAGCCGACGAUCAGUAGCCGACCUGAGAGGGUGAUCGGCCACAUUGGGACUGAGACACGGCCCAAACUCCUACGGAAGGCAGCAG
rnacentral:rRNA from 1 species